rnacentral:rRNA from 1 species
UACGUAGGUGGCAAGCGUUAUCCGGAAUUAUUGGGCGUAAAGAGCGCGCAGGUGGUUUCUUAAGUCUGAUGUGAAAGCCCACGGCUCAACCGUGGAGGGUCAUUGGAAACUGGGAGACUUGAGUGCAGAAGAGGAAAGUGGAAUUCCAUGUGUAGCGGUGAAAUGCGUAGAGAUAUGGAGGAACACCAGUGGCGAAGGCGACUUUCUGGUCUGUAACUGACACUGAGGCGCGAAAGCGUGGGGAGCAAACAGG